rnacentral:lncRNA from 1 species
GAUUGAUUCACACAGUCAUGACAGCUUCUACUAAGAGUUUUUCAUGGGAUCUGGCUUGCCCAUUUUGGAGUUGUUACAUCUGUCCUGAGUGGUGCAGUAUACUGUUCUAUCCACCAGGCAAGCUGUUUGGCUGUCCGAAAAUAUAAAUAAAUUAGAAGAAAAUGAUCACAGAGGAGACACCUAUGUUACAGUGAAAAGUAUCAUGUUCCAAAUCAAACACUUGGAAACUUGCCAGUGGUAUUACGACCCUGCCUAAAAUAUGCUGGGAAAAGGAGAAGAAAACUGUUUUAUGUAAAAAGUUCUGGUAAGAGUUUUUUUUCCAGCAUAGAGAAUGUGUAUGACACAAUUUAUGACAACUCUAAACUAUUGAGAAAAAUGCUUGAAAGGUUAAUUUCCUUUGUGCAGCACAGGUUCAUGAGUUGCAGAGAAUCAAGGAAGACAGUUCACUAAUUCAGCUACUCAUUAUAGAUAAACAUGUCAAUUAAUUUCUUCAGACUGCAGUGUAAAUAUAUGCUUGAAUUCUUUGACCUGAUGAAGGUGUGAUUUAUGUGUAUGGCACUGAUUAUUCAUUCCAUUUGGAGCAUUAUUU